rnacentral:rRNA from 1 species
GGGAGGUAGUGACAAUAAAUAACAAUACGGGGUUCUUAAGGAUCUCGUAAUUGGAAUGAGUACAAUUUAAAUCUCUUAACGAGGAACAAUUGGAGGGCAAGUCUGGUGCCAGCAGCCGCGGUAAUUCCAGCUCCAAUAGCGUAUAUUAAAGUUGUUGCAGUUAAAAAGCUCGUAGUUGAAUUUCGGGAUCAAUUUGUUGGUCGUGCCUCGGUACGUACUGGCAUUAUUGGUUUCUACCUUCUGAAGAACCUUGAUGUCAUUAAUUUGGUGUUGCGGGGAAUCAGGACUGUUACUUUGAAAAAAUUAGAGUGUUUAAAGCAAGCAAGCGCUUGAAUACAUUAGCAUGGAAUAAUGAAAUAGGACGUUUGAUCCUAUUUUGUUGGUUUCUAGGAUUGACGUAAUGAUUAAUAGGGAUAGUUGGG